rnacentral:rRNA from 1 species
CCUACGGGGGGCAGCAGUGGGGAAUAUUGCACAAUAGGCGAAAGCCUGAUGCAGCGACGCCGCGUGAGCGAAGAAGGCCUUCGGGUCGUAAAGCUCUUUUAUCCGGGACGAUAAUGACGGUACCGGAGGAAUAAGCCCCGGCUAACUUCGUGCCAGCAGCCGCGGUAAUACGAAGGGGGCUAGCGUUGCUCGGAAUCACUGGGCGUAAAGGGCGCGUAGGCGGCGUUUUAAGUCGGGGGUGAAAGCCUGUGGCUCAACCACAGAAUGGCCUUCGAUACUGGGACGCUUGAGUAUGGUAGAGGUUGGUGGAACUGCGAGUGUAGAGGUGAAAUUCGUAGAUAUUCGCAAGAACACCGGUGGCGAAGGCGGCCAACUGGACCAUUACUGACGCUGAGGUACGAAAGCGUGGGGAGCAAACAGGAUUAGAUACCCUGGUAGUC